UUCCAUUUAAAACACCACUUUAUUUUACAUUUUAAAGAGAAUUACCACAUGAAAUUCUAUCUAUAAAUGACAUAUUUGUAUCAGCUAGAAUAUCACCCAUCUUACCUCAAAUAAAUAGUAGAAACAAGCUGGAAAAACACAAGGAAAGGUUGGGUUGAAGGCUUGAAGAACAAUUCUGUAAUUGUUGCAGAAAUUGGAAUUAAUUGCUGGUUUUUUUUCAGGAAUGUUAAACUCGUUUAAUCUACUCCUAAUAGACUACUAACAUCCUAACAGUUUACUAACAAGGUAGGAUUAGAAAAUGAAUGAAAUUUGGAAAUAAACAGAAGCAAAGAUCAUAACCUUACUUGCACAGUGGUGACAGCAAGUGUAAGAACAACAAUUCAGUGAAGUUACUGCAAUUUUGGGUUCAAGAAUUUGAAUAGAAGAUGGUUAAGUGUUCCGGUACCAAAAGGAAACUAUUUUAGAAGACGAAGACUCACCUAGAAUAGGACAGACGGAAAAUCUCUUCCUUAUUUACACCAGAUUUUCCUCUUGGGACCAAUUAUAUUCACGCUCUGUUUUUACAUUUUCACUCCACUUGCACUAUUUGUUAUCUCUAUUUUGUUGAGGUUUUGAUUUCAAAUGAAAUAAAAGAGAAGGAGACAAAGAAGAAGCUGAUUUAAAGGGAAUUGAUGGCCAAAUCUUGG
rnacentral:lncRNA from 1 species